GACGAACGCUGGCGGCGUGCUUAACACAUGCAAGUCGAACGGAAAGGCCUGCUUUCCCUUGUGGAUUGCGGGUACUCGAGUGGCGAACGGGUGAGUAACACGUGAGUGAUCUGCCCCCAACUUGGGUAUAAGCCUGGGAAACUGGGUCUAAUUCCCGAUAGGACUGCAGGGUGGUGCCUGUGGUGGAAAACGAUUUUCUAGUGGUUGGGGAUGAGCUCGCGGCCUAUCAGCUUGUUGGUGGGGUAAUGGCCUACCAAGGCGGCGACGGGUAGCCGGCCUGAGAGGGUGGACGGCCACAUUGAGACUGAGAUACGGCCCAGACUCCGACAGGAGGCAGCAGUGGGGAAUAUUGCACAAUGGGCGGAAGCCUGAAGCAGCGACGCCGCGUGGGGGAUGACGGCCUUCGGGUUGUAAACUCCUUUCGACCGCGAGGAAGCCACCUGGUUGGAAGGGUGGUGACGGUAGUGGUAGAAGAAGCACCGGCUAACUACGUG
rnacentral:rRNA from 1 species